UUUACCCCCAAUCUGUCGGAACUUGUUCAAAAGUUAAACCCGAUGUUGCUGAUGGAGCGUUUGCGCUCUUGUGGCGUUCUAACCGCAGAAGAUUGCAGUAGCCUGCGAAAUGGCUGUUCCACAGAGGAAGAGCGCUCUCGGAAACUCCUCCACGAUAUUUUGCCGCGCAGGGGAAACGAUGUAUUCAAUCACUUCUGUCGAAUCGUUCUUCCAGUUGAAGGACAGAAUCACAUUGUCACGCAAGUCAUGAAGGUUCCAUCUGCUCAUCGUGCUCGGGCGCAAGUACAACAUGUACAGCCAGAGGAGUCUCCCCUAGAGCUUGAAAGCAGUCAGCAGAUGUCUUGAUCAUGGAAGAAACAUUUAAUAGCUAUUGCUGCAAUAUCGGUUGCUUUGUUAGUCAGCUACAUUGGAUAUUGUAUCCAUGCUACCAAGUAUGAUGAACUGUCAAGUACAUGUUGGAAAUUUGUUCAAAAUGAAGCAUCAGAACUCUCUGAGAAACUACAUUUUACAAAUGAUAUGAAUGAUAUGCUAUUUUCUAACGAUUUUAUUGACGAAAGUCGUUCAAUGGAAAUACAUGAACGUUUGAGUGAGGCCAAAUGGACAAAUUUGGAUACUUACAAGUUGUUGAUGGCUGUCCUUCCAAAAUCUGACAAUGCAACAUACAUGAGGUUCUGUUGUUUAU